AUGCGGCUGAUCAAACUUCACUCCGCUAUCUCAUAUCAGCCAUCUGCUUGCAAUCAUCGGAUUUUUCUGCCUGAUGUGGAUAUGUCUAUUGAAGCCAUCUAUCCUGAGCCUGCCAAGGAACCUCUAAGUCUUCAGAAUGCAGAGCAUCAGAGUUUUUCUCAGAACAUUGAAAGAGUUGAAGCAGUCGCUCGUGUGUAUCCUUUGGCUGGCACUACACGUGCACCGCAUCCUGCUCUCACUGAAGCCACUGACAGUACAACUACUCCACGAACCAAGAAACACACUCAUGUUCUCAAUGACCGAGAGCUUCUUGUGGCUCUUCAUCAGAAACAUGAUAGGCAUCAUGACUGGCUGAAGCAUCAAAUGCAAAGCCUCUUGGUGGAUGUUAAUCGCAUUCGCAAUCUUGCCACCAAGAAUGCUUUUGUUGCCCAUGAAACCUCUCGCCACACAUGGAAAGGGCUAACGCUGAUGUGUUCUGAAGAUGAUCUUCAAGAGGAUGGCUUCACUGAGCGAUUCAAGUUUGACUCCACACCUCCUCGAAGGGCAGUGCUGCGACGAACUCCAUCCCUUGAAGACUCUGAGUUCUCUUCCUCUGCUGCAACUGUGACUGCCAGAGUGAUCGAGGAUGAAGACGAUGCUACUUCACUGCCACCUCCUUCAGCAUGCUUCGACUCUGCUCCAAGCUCUUCAGCACCGCCAAACACCACCAACAACCCUUCUGCUUCACCUACUUCUCAUGGGAACGAGUAG
rnacentral:rRNA from 1 species